rnacentral:misc_RNA from 1 species
AAGAGUUAGGGUCCUUUGGGCCCGACCUCCCAACCCUUUGUCUACUUGUCCAUGUUGCUUCGGCGUGCCCGUCUUCGGACCGCCGGGGGGCUAUUCCACGCCCUCUGGCUUGUGCUUGCCGGUAGCCCACAAAAACUUCUCGGAAUGAAUCAUGCCACUGUCUGAGUUUAAGUCUUUAAUUAUAAGCA